CCCCCCGAAGCUUAGCACCUUGAGCAACCUAACUCAGCAGACAUGUCUUGUAAGUACAGUUCUUGAUGUGUGCUAAUGAAUUUAUAAUGGAAGCUUAUGUAGCUACUCACAGAAAGUCCUACAGUUCCAAGACCGAAUAUAACUACACUUGAACCCUCAGAUACAUCUGCAACAUUCCAAGCUGCACCAAGUCCUAGAGAACGGAACAAUGAACAAAGGUAUGAUCAGAAUGAAUAUGCGCACCAAUUCCCAGAACCAGAAAAAUCAAACACGGCAACUCUCAGAUAAUCUGGAGUUCUGAACCUCAGGAAUUACCUGCAGACACACCGCAGCUCAGCAGGCACACCCUGUCCAUUGGCACUGUCAGGCCGACCUUCACAGCACAUCCUGAAUGAACAACCGUGUACUCG
rnacentral:lncRNA from 1 species